rnacentral:rRNA from 1 species
UUUCCCUACGGGACGCAGCAGUAGGGAAUUUUCGUCAAUGGGCGCAAGCCUGACCCAGCAACGCCGCGUGAAGGAAGAAGGCUUUCGGGUUGUAAACUUCUUUUCUCAGGGACGAAGCAAGUGACGGUACCUGAGGAAUAAGCCACGGCUAACUACGUGCCAGCAGCCGCGGUAAUACGUAGGUGGCAAGCGUUAUCCGGAUUUACUGGGUGUAAAGGGCGUGUAGGCGGGAAAGCAAGUCAGAUGUGAAAACCAUGGGCUCAACCUGUGGCCUGCAUUUGAAACUGUUUUUCUUGAGUACUGGG